rnacentral:lncRNA from 1 species
GGGUAACCUCUGUUAAGUUGUGGGUGAGCAUAUCAGGCGAUACAGCAAUUCUUCAAACUGCUUUUGUUUAUUCACAGGCCAGAACAGAACAGAACUGAAGGGUUCAGCCAGCCUGCUUAUAUAGAGCUCCACUACAACGCAACAGUAACCACUUUCUGUAACUAUCCAAUCACUGAACGUCACUUUCAAUCCCUUAUUUGCAUAUGUGGACCUGAGUGAGAACGAUCUACAGUAUCCCUCUGCUGGCCCAGGGUGUGAACUUCAGUACAUAACAACAUCUGCCCAGAUGUUUAUGAUUAGGAGCUGUGUUUACCUUGGUCAAGCACCCACGGGUGAUACUCAUACUGACUGAGCUGUGAUGCCUGGCACGCAAUUCUCACAGGACCACCAGGAAUAACCUUGUGGCGAGGUAUGUUUAGUGGGUGGGUGGGUUCUAACAGCAGGGAGAGCCAACAUGGUGCCCUUCGGAUGUUGUUGGACUACCGCUCCCAUCAGCCCCAGUGAAGGACGCCAAUGGUCAGGGAUGAUGGGGGUUAUGGUCCAAUAUCGCCCGGAGGGUGUCCCAUUGGCUACCCCUGUUGCAAAGCACACACAGUAGGAAAUUGUUAUGGGGAAUGGAAAAGACGGAAUCUGGGAGUUUAAAACAAGCAGGGGACUCGGCUACAUCAGUGAAGAAACAGUGAUUUGAAUGCAACACCAGAUGGCGCCAGAGAGCAGGAAAUUUUAAAACACGAUUUUCCAUAUAGAUUCCCCCCCCCCUUUGUUAUAAUGAUCUAAUUUCUGACUUAUUUAUAGUGGGGGUUUUCCUGUGUCUAGAUCCACCCCAGGACUGUAUGGCUGAUGGAAAAGAUAUGAUGUGUAUAAGGCCAUUCUAGAGAUCAUGGGAAGGGUCUCUUGAAGCCACUCCCCUGCCAGGAAUCUGGCUGCUCCCUCUUCAUUUUCUCCUUCCUUUGUUCACAUUCCAUUCUUCAAGCUAAAUGCCAUGCUAAGGCUGGCACUGCCAUUAUCCACAUUUCUAACACUUUAUCGCUCUUCCUUGGAUUCUGUUUGGUUUGUUGACUGCUUCUCUCUCUCUCUCUCUCUCUUUCUCUCUCCAUCAGUAUUAAACAACAGGAGUCCUGAUCACAGAUCUCAUAUAGCGUGGCCCUAAAUUGCAUACGUUUCUUUGUCAUUGCACUUUUAUUAUGGACAGGCAAAAUAUGUCAAUUUCAGUUUCUAUUUUUUUCUGUCUUAAGUUCACUUGUUCACACUCAGUUUGCUUCUUCUUCUUCUUUUAAAAAAAGUCCCUGUGAAAGUUCCUCAGCACCGUAGUGCGAAUUACUUCUAAAACACAUGUCUUUGUCUGCAAUUUCCCCUAACGUACACAUUUUCGCAAAGCCACUUUCCUUUCUGUAAUGCAUUCUUGAAUGUUGUUUUCACCAACGUGCAUUUACGAUCACAUUUCUAAUCACUGCCGGUGUUUCACGCUUGGGUUUCUAUGCACUGUAGAGCAAAGUUGCGCGUGCUACACUAAGAAAGGGACGGAUCUUUAGCGCAGAAGGAAGAAAAGUCAUCAGAGGGUUGUGUGAAUGACCAUGGAUGGUGUGUGUGUGUGUGUGUGUGUGUGUGUGUGUGUGUUUGGGACCUUUCUAGGUCCCAAAUUCCACCCUACCCCCCCCACCCCACUUGCAAGAUGAAGCCAUUCUUUGGAUAUGGGAGUAUGGGACUCGGGCACUAAAUCAUAGCCAAGCUCCUGCAGGAAUUAAAGACCUGAUCUUUCACCUUUCUGAUCAGGGUGUGGUGGAAACAGUGAAUCUGGUGGUCUGGAUUUGAGGUCAGCUGCCCUUCAGUGCUUGGUCAUCACCAUCACAAAAAGGGCACUAUAAUUUAGCCAGGAAGGGAAGUUGGCCGAUUGAUUUAGAUCCCUGGAGGUGUCUCCUCUAACCUCACCCCUCUCAGAACCGGGUCAGGGCUGGGUUAUGGGCAAAGUGCAGCAAGCUGGAAGGGGGUCUGAUAUCCACCUUCCUGCAGCUGGUGUAUGAACACCAUAGCUCCUGUGUCUUUUCUGUGGACAAGUAACCAAGCCUCCUCCAAUUAUUUGACCUACUCAGUGGCCAUUGGAACAAGUUAGGAAGGGAUUAGCAGGGAAUUGUCCUCCUUGGUAUCAUUCCCGCCCCCCUUUUGAUUACUCAUAUAUUUAUUACCUCUGUCCUUUGCCUUUUGGUACCCAAAGGCAGUUUGCAUAUUGCAUUAGGAGCUUGAACUGAAAAGAUAUUUGAGUACCGGGGUAAGUGUAAUGCAACAAGAAAUUAAAAUGUGGUUCAGGUAAACAGCGGAGGGGCUUGAUUUGUGCUGGAGAGUUGUGUUGCUCUGGAAAAUUCAUUUUAUCAGAUGUUAUUCCAUCGGUUCUACACCCCAGUCAAGAGGAAGCUUAGAGGUGGAGAUGUAAUAAAAGCACUUUAAGCAUAUUUGGAAGUGGGUUUUUUUUGAAAUAAAAACAAUCAAAUGCUUGAUGAACUUAAAGAGGUGAGCGAUGGGAAUAAAUAGUAUUGAUGCAAGGUGAUUAGUGCAAUGAUUUGGGUUGCUACAAGCCGCUGGGAACAACGAGGUCUUCCUUCAAACUAAGAAAUGCCCAAGAAAAUUGUGACAGGCAGCACUGAUGUAUAAGCAAAUUGACAUAUUAUAAAACAUUGUGGGUUGGUUAAGAAACAAUAAAAGAACCUUUUGGCAAUUGGCGGCCUUUUCUUAGAUAUUGUAACAUAGCAAAUCUAUUGGAAAAUGUGAGGCCAGAAGUGUUGAAUGUGAUAUAGAAGUAUUAUUGAACAUGCCGAACAGAAUAUAGAUUUUUGUGUUAAUUUUUAUGAGCUCCCCUUUAAUUUACUAAAUUGGAUCCCUUAUUUUAUUGCUUUUUUCCUCUAGUGGUCCUUCGCUAGAAAGAAUAAUUUGUAGAAUGUGUACUCAUUGUAUGGAUGUCCUAAAUGUUUUUGUGGCAUAAUACAAAUGUAAAUAAAAAUCUAGCAGUUAAAGGAGCUACUUAGGGUGUUUCCAGACAGGGCCUCAAUAUUACAAAUGGGUCAUUGAGAUAUCGCAAAUGUUGGGAGCAGGUUUUUUAUUUAGGUGUCAGAUUUUCCUCAGAAAGGGAAAAUCCAGAGUAAAUAGGGGGUGGCGGGUGUUAAGUUGUGGGUGAACAUAUCAGAUGACACAACGAUUCCUCAAACAGCUCUUGUUUAUUCACAGGCUCAGAACAGAACUGGGCUGAAGGGUUCAGCCAGCCUGCUUAUAUAGAGCUCAACUACAAAGCAACAGUAACAACUUUCUGUAACUAUCCAAUCACUGAACGUCACUUUCAAUUCCUUAUUUGCAUAUGUGGACCUGAGUGAAAACUAUCUAUAGUAUCCCCCUGCUGGCCCAGGGUGAGAACUUCAGUACAUAACAGCAGGGGUUGGGAGAGGGCUGGCCUUUUGAUGCCAACAACAUUGUGCUGGAGUUGCAAAAUAAAUGAUUCCGCAUCAAAUACUCAUCUGGAAGUACCUUGACAAAAGCUCCCUUGUGUUAGGGGACCAGCCAGCAAUAAAUCACAC